rnacentral:tRNA from 1 species
GCCGGGAUGGUGAAAUUGGCAAACACGUAGCGUUCAGGGCGCUAUGCUCGUAAGGGCUUAAGGGUUCAACUCCCUUUCCCGGCA